CUGGGGGCAACUAGGUGUGUGUCUACUGAUCGUGCGUCUGCUCCGUGCCUGCAGACGUUAGGUGUGCGUAUGUGUGCUUAGCGGCAGGUAUGAGUGUGCACCCAUGCUCACCGCUGUGUAUGAAUGUGUGCCCCCUUGCUGGGUGUGCAUGUACCUUCGGUGUGAGGGAGCCCUGCGGAGUGUGUGACUGAUGUAUACACCCCUGCUGGAUCAGCACUAUGUCUCCCUGGAGAAGGAGGGAGGAGUGGCAUUCCAAAGGUAAUAAAAUCAAUUUAAAGAAUGAACGUCUCUUCAAAAUAUCACGUUUAAAUGAAAGAAGAAAGACAGCCUGGAAUAAUGGAUGAAGACGUUGGAGUCAGGAAGACUUCAGGCUGCCUCCCUAAUACACAUCAGCCAUGUGAUCCUGGGCAAGUCACAACCUCAAAGUCUCCCAGUUCAGCACAUAAAUUUAGGACAAACCACAGAGUUUCCUUGGAACACAUGGAACUGAGAAGUGUCUCAAUUUCAGCCAUCCAGCCACCCCAAUCUUGUUCUCUGUCCAAUGGCAGCCUUGCUGAAGAUCAGGCUAGCAUUCUGAAUGAGUGGCCAGGGAGGGCCUCAGAACCACGGACUCUCAGAAUUGCAAGGGACCCCCUGAGGCCAUCUAGUCUGCCCUAGCACUGAACAGAAAUCCUCUCCUGCAACCUCUUCACCAAGUGGUCCUCAGCCUCUACUUGAAGGCUUCCAGUGACUUCCCAAGACAGCUCGUUGUACUUUGGUAACAGCUUUAACUAUAAUGACGCUAUUGCUUAUACCAUACCAGUCAAAUGCCACAAAAGUUAACUGUAAUUGGGAAAUAUUUAACCUUAAUUAACAACUAAUUAACCUUAAUUAACAAUACUUCCAACUGCCAGGUGAUUAAAAUUGUAAUUGGGAAAUAUUUAACAAGACAAAAAUACAAUAGAAUGUAGAUAAUACUGAUA